GUGGGAACCAACACGUGCCAUGAGCAGUGACGGAUUAGGGUAUGUAUAUAAACCACGGGUGUUUGCAAACAUCAUCGCUGAUUGUACUGUACAACAUGAGAGCUGUGUUCUUCCUCGUUUUCGCCUCCAUUCUCCUCCUCGGAGCUGUUACUGAUGUAGCCAAGGCGCAGACAUGUAGCAGCAUACCCUGCAUGAACGAUGCCGACUGUGCCAGGUGCAACUGUAACUCACGUUGUGGCAAUUAUGUUGGCGGCAUUGCGGGCACUUGUGCAUGUCACUGAUUGCUGAACAUUAAAGGGCCAAACUUUGAGCUUCAAGUUCUGCACUGAAAGACAUGCUCGUGUUUGUACUUAUUGAAAAUACAAUGUACUGGAAUGAC